rnacentral:tRNA from 1 species
CAAAUUGUAUCUUGUAGAUAAUUAUUAUUUACAAUAAUAAUUUAAAUUGUUUGAAUCAAUUCAAUUUGA